rnacentral:rRNA from 1 species
UAUUUGGCAAUGGGCGCAAGCCUGACCCAGCAACGCCGCGUGAAGGAAGAAGGCUUUCGGGUUGUAAACUUCUUUUGUCAGUGACGCAGCAAGUGACGGUACCUUACGAAUAAAUCACGGCUAACUACGUGCCAGCAGCCGCGGUAAUACGUAGGUGGCAAGCGUUAUCCGGAUUUACUGGGUGUAAAGGGCGUGUAGGCGGGGAAGCAAGUCAGAUGUGAAAACCACGGGCUCAACCUGUGGCCUGCAUUUGAAACUGUUUUUCUUGAGUGCUGGAGAGGCAAUCGGAAUUCCGUGUGUAGCGGUGAAAUGCGUAGAUAUACGGAGGAACACCAGUGGCGAAGGCGGAUUGCUGGACAGUAACUGACGCUGAGGCGCGAAAGCGUGGGGAGCAAACA